AUUGAACGCUGGCGGCAGGCCUAACACAUGCAAGUCGAACGAGUGGCGGACGGGUGAGUAAUGUCUGGGAAACUGCCCGAUGGAGGGGGAUAACUACUGGAAACGGUAGCUAAUACCGCAUACCAUCGGAUGUGCCCAGAUGGGAUUAGCUUGUAGGUGAGGUAACGGCUCACCUAGGCCACGAUCCCUAGCUGGUCUGAGAGGAUGACCAGCCACACUGGAACUGAGAAACGGUCAAGACACCUACGGGAGGAAGCAGUAGGGAAUAUUGCAAAAUGGGCGAAAGCCUGAUGCAGCCAUGCCGCGUGUGUGAAGAAGGCCUUCGGGUUGUAGAGUAAUUUCAGCGGGGAGGCGUUACCCGCAGAAGAAGCACCGGCUAACUCCGUGCCAGCAGCCGCGGUAAUUC
rnacentral:rRNA from 1 species